rnacentral:rRNA from 1 species
AAGACUGGGAUAACUCCGGGAAACCGGGGCUAAUACCGGAUAACAUUUUGAACUGCAUGGUUCGAAAUUGAAAGGCGGCUUCGGCUGUCACUUAUGGAUGGACCCGCGUCGCAUUAGCUAGUUGGUGAGGUAACGGCUCACCAAGGCAACGAUGCGUAGCCGACCUGAGAGGGUGAUCGGCCACACUGGGACUGAGACACGGCCCAGACUCCUACGGGAGGCAGCAGUAGGGAAUCUUCCGCAAUGGACGAAAGUCUGACGGAGCAACGCCGCGUGAGUGAUGAAGGCUUUCGGGUCGUAAAACUCUGUUGUUAGGGAAGAACAAGUGCUAGUUGAAUAAGCUGGCACCUUGACGGUACCUAACCAGAAAGCCACGGCUAACUACGUGCCAGCAGCCGCGGUAAUACGUAGGUGGCAAGCGUUAUCCGGAAUUAUUGGGCGUAAAGCGCG